rnacentral:rRNA from 1 species
CGCAUCAGCCAUGGCGCGGUGAAUACUUCCCGGGCCUUGUACACACCGCCCGUCAAGCCAUGGGAGCCGAGGGCGCUUGAAGUGCGUCGCCGCGAGGCGCGCCCUAGAGCGAAAUCGGUGACUGGGGCUAAGUCGUAACAAGGUAAC